rnacentral:tmRNA from 1 species
CCUCCGAUACGCGAACCGCACGAAGUCGUUCGGCUCUACCCGUAAACGACGCUCUUGCCUCUGAACGGCGGUGCGAAACCCGUCUCCGUUCGUCAUAGUGAUAACGCGCACUGUUCCGCCCGCUUUCAGCGUCCGCUGAAUCAGUCCCGCACACCCAAGAACAUCGUCGUCGCAGUGGGGCGCAAAAACGAGGAGGCGGGUAUGGGAGGUCGGUGCAGGGAGUAAGGGCAGUUGUAGCUGGGCGGAUUGGGCGUGGUAAAGGUCGUUUUGAUGGGCGUAAAAUCGUCGUCCGGCGUUCCCGAUAUAGGCGCAGACGAGGAGAGCGGACACAAGCACCGCACCAAACAGAUAACGCACUUUAAUCGGGGGGCGUAAUCGCAACACCCUGACUCUCCUAAUUUCAAGCCAAUAGCAUAAAGGACGCGCACAGCGUAAGCCGUGCCCGCCCCUCAGCGAAACAGAGACC